rnacentral:hammerhead_ribozyme from 1 species
AUUAGAGUCCCAAAUAGGACGAAAUGCGCGUCUUGAAU